rnacentral:siRNA from 1 species
GGGGUUCCCUGAUUGUUACAAGC